rnacentral:lncRNA from 1 species
UCGUAACGCUUUUUGUUUCGACUCAAUCGGAGUUUCCGUUGAGAUUUUACGACGAAAACAAGUAGGACUCUUCUUGGCUUGCUUCCACUCGCUACGUAGCUACCUGUCAGACCUCCACUCGCUACGUAGUGACCUGUCAGACCUCCACUCGCUACAUAACGACCUGUCAGGCCUCAGAAAAGUCCUCCUUUGCGUUCUCUUUUGAAUCCUCA